UACAGAGGUCUCAAGCGUUGUUCGGAUUCAUUGGGCGUAAAGGGUGCGUAGGCGGCGCAGUAAGUCGGGUGUGAAAUCUCGGAGCUUAACUCCGAAACUGCAUUCGAUACUGCUGUGCUUGAGGACUGGAGAGGAGACUGGAAUUUACGGUGUAGCGGUGAAAUGCGUAGAUAUCGUAAGGAAGACCAGUGGCGAAGGCGGGUCUCUGGACAGUUCCUGACGCUGAGGCACGAAGGUCAGGGGAGCAAACGGG
rnacentral:rRNA from 1 species